UACGGGGGGGGCAAGCGUUGUUCGGAAUUACUGGGCGUAAAGGGCUCGUAGGCGGCCAACUAAGUCAGACGUGAAAUCCCUCGGCUUAACCGAGGAACUGCGUCUGAUACUGGAUGGCUAGAGAUUGGGAGAGGGAUGCGGAAUUCCAGGUGUAGCGGUGAAAUGCGUAGAUAUCUGGAGGAACACCGGUGGCGAAGGCGGCAUCCUGGACCAACACUGACGCUGAGGAGCGAAAGCCAGGGGAGCAAGCGGG
rnacentral:rRNA from 1 species